AGGACUUUUUCAGAUUAACUUUAAAUCCUGAUUUAAAAAUAACAACUUUUUUAUAAUAACUAUGAUCACACAAUCCUGGCGCAACGUGUAGGUAACAGCUGAUUGAUAGCAUGAAAUGUUUCAAUGCAUCCAGCGCGAAAGAGAGAAACCGUUAGGAGAACGAAACAACCAAUCAGCGCUCUCGCCCACAACUGUCAGAUAGGUUCCUGGCAAAUCAUCCUAUCCGGCAAUGUAAACAAUAUUUUGCAGAGUACGCAUAGGACUUUUCGUGUUUUGAAAAUUGUGGUUGUUUUUUUUUUUUUGCUUUUUGCCGUUUUUGAGUGUUUUAAUGUUGUUAAGCUGAAUAACUUGUGUUAAGAUCUCGUCGGAAAACUACUAAGCGUGUCCAAAUCUCGGUCAACAGUUUACAAUUCCAUGACGCAACGAUAAGGAUGAUUUUGGGCGGGUUCGCGGCCACGCAAUGCAUCACGUCGAUUUAAAUUUUCCAAGCAGGGAGACGAUUACGACUUGGCAAAAAAUUACCCGGACGAGCGGAAAGCCUCGAACAAGAUGACCAUCAACAAGUGCCGGCAACAGCCACAGGUCAUGAUUUUGCUGUUCAGUGGGAAACUGAUAUUUAACAUGGACUUGGAAAAGCUAUCUACUAACUGCUUCAAGUCUGAAUGGUCAUGACCGAGUACACCAUUCCAUGGCCAUUCCAAGCCGGUGAACAGGGUCAAGGUCGUCGGUCUGGCAAGUCCGUAUCAUUUUGCUC